AAAAGACUUAGUCCUAACCUUACUGUUAGUUUUUGCUAGGUUUAUACAUGCGAGUAUCCGCGCUCCGGUGUAGAUGCCCUGGGUGCCCCAUCAAUGGCCGACAGGAGCGGGUAUCAGGCUCACCCCCCCCGGUAGCCCAAGACGCCUUGCAAUUGCCACACCCCCACGGGUCUUCAGCAGUAGUUAAUAUUAAGCAAUGAGUGUAAACUUGACUUAGCCAUAGCAAUUUUAGGGGCGGUAAAUCCUGUGCCAGCCACCGCGGUCAGACAGGAGACCCAAAUUAACAUUACUUACGGCGUAAAGUGUGGUCACAUGUUAUCCAAGUAACUAAGAUUAAAAGGCAACUGAGCCGUCAUACGCCCAAGAUGCCCAUAAGGCCUCUAUUCAAAGAAGAUCUUAGACUAACGAUUAAUUGAAAUCCACGAAAGCCAGGGCCCAAACUGGGAUUAGAUACCCCACUAUGCCUGGCCCUAAAUCUUGAUGCUUAACCUUACCCAAGCAUCCGCCCGAGAACUACGAGCACAAACGCUUAAAACUCUAAGGACUUGGCGGUGCCCUAAAUCCACCUAGAGGAGCCUGUUCUGUAAUCGAUGAUCCACGCUAUACCUGACCACCCCUUGCCAACAACAGCCUAUAUACCGCCGUCGCCAGCCCACCCCGUCUGAGGGCCCAACAGUGGACGCAAUAGCCUUAUUACGCUAGUACGACAGGUCAAGGUAUAGCCUAUGGGGUGGUAGUAAUGGGCUACAUUUUCUAAGAUAGAACACAACGGCAUGGGGACAUGAAACUGUCCCCGGAAGGAGGAUUUAGCAGUAAAGUGGGACAAUCGAGCCCUCUUUAAGCCGGCUCUAGGGCACGUACAUACCGCCCGUCACCCUCCUCAAAAGCGACCCCAAUCCCUUAUUACCUAAAAAGCUAUCCAGCCAAAGAGGAGGUAAGUCGUAACAAGGUAAGUGUACCGGAAGGUGCACUUAGGAUACC
rnacentral:ncRNA from 1 species